rnacentral:tRNA from 2 species
GUACCUUUAGCUCAGUUGGUUAGAGCAGACGGCUCAUAACCGUCCGGUCGUAGGUUCGAAUCCUAUAAGGUACA